CCUACGGAGGCAGCAGUGGGGAAUUUUCCGCAAUGGGCGAAAGCCUGACGGAGCAACGCCGCGUGAGGGAUGAAGGCCUCUGGGCUGUAAACCUCUUUUAUCAAGGAAGAAGAUCUGACGGUACUUGAUGAAUAAGCCACGGCUAAUUCCGUGCCAGCAGCCGCGGUAAUACGGGAGUGGCAAGCGUUAUCCGGAAUUAUUGGGCGUAAAGCGUCCGCAGGCGGUCUUGUAAGUCUGUCGUUAAAGCGUGGAGCUUAACUCCAUUUCGGCGGUGGAAACUACAAGACUAGAGUGUGGUAGGGGCAGAGGGAAUUCCCGGUGUAGCGGUGAAAUGCGUAGAUAUCGGGAAGAACACCAGUGGCGAAGGCGCUCUGCUGGGCCAUAACUGACGCUCAUGGACGAAAGCUAGGGGAGCGAAAGGGAUUAGAUACCCCUGUAGUCCUAGCCGUAAACGAUGAACACUAGUGUCGGGGAAUCGACCCCCUCGGUGUCGUAGCUAACGCGUUAAGUGUUCCGCCUGGGGAGUACGGCACGCAAGUGUGAAACUUAAAUGAAUUGACGGCUGNGACGNGCGAGCGACGACGAGGGAGAG
rnacentral:rRNA from 1 species